rnacentral:rRNA from 1 species
GACGAACGCUGGCGGCGUGCUUAACACAUGCAAGUCGAACGGAAAGGCCCUGCUUGCAGGGUACUCGAGUGGCGAACGGGUGAGUAACACGUGGGUGAUCUGCCCUGCACUUCGGGGUAAGCCUGGGAAACUGGGUCUAAUACCGGAUAGGAGCCAUUUUUAGUGUGAUGGUUGGAAAGUUUUUUCGGUGUAGGAUGAGCUCGCGGCCUAUCAGCUUGUUGGUGGGGUAAUGGCCUACCAAGGCGGCGACGGGUAGCCGGCCUGAGAGGGUGGACGGCCACCUUGGGACUGAGAUACGGCCCAGACUCCUACGGGAGGCAGCAGUGGGGAAUAUUGCACAAUGGGCGCAAGCCUGAUGCAGCGACGCCGCGUGGGGGAUGACGGGCUUCGGGUUGUAAACUCCUUUCGCUAGGGACGAAGCUUUUUGUGACGGUACCUAGAGAAGAAGCACCGGCUAACUACGUG